GUUUUGCUUUUCUAGAAAGUGCCCCAGCAACAGAUCCUGAUAUGUGCAAAAGGAAGUCUGGCUUAAGCACAGACGAGGAGGAAGUACUUAUGUUGCCAGUUAAAGGCCGUGAGCGCUAUAACAUGUUAAAAAAGAUAAAUGAUGCAUUAGAACUGGCUGGAAAAGAGGCUAAAAACAAAACCAGGGCUUCUAAGGAACUGCUGCCGUCCAGUGGAAAGCGCGUCUUGCAAAAAGCAGAACGAAGCGACAGCGACUAGUUGCAAUCUGCCUUCUUUUAACCGCCAUGUUAUGUUCAGUGUUGCUUCCUGGCCAACAUCCCUCAGCAGGAGGCUGCACGAUCAUCGAGUUCAGAUGAACUGCGCGACCCCAGCCCCCUGUACCUCCCCGUCCCUCGUCCUGCCGGGGUCCGGCGCGACCCCAGCCCACGGAACUUCCCCGUCCCUCGUCCUGCCGGGGUCCGGCGCGACCCCAGCCCCCUGUACCUCCCCGUCCCGCGUCCUCCCGGGGUCAGGCGCGACCCCAUUUUUUUUGUUUUUUAUUUUUCCUUCUCCUUUCCUCCCCUUUACCUCCACCCGUGCCACAGGCCCACUGAUGAUGAACAUGAUGAUGAUGACGAACAUGAUGAUGAUGAUGAUGAUGAUGAUGAUGAUGAUGAUGAUGAUGAUUAUGCAAGCAGACAGCUGCGUGCAAGGGCUGACCAUUUUAAACGAAAAAUAAAACAGACCAAACAGGCAAAAACAUUUGAUUAAAUGCCAAAAGUUUAUUUAAUAAUAUAAAACAGUUAUGAAAUAAAGGAGUACAAGGCGCAUUCCGUACAGUAUAAUUUAAUCGGUACGCGUAAAGCAACAGAGGCAGGCGUAGAAAGAAAUUGAAUACGGCCCUUUUUUUUUUUUUUAAUCUUCAUCAACGGGAUUCUCGGCUCAUCAAAACUUGACGCGAAGCAGCUUUCGCAGCAGCGCCAGCAUCAGUAUCCCGCAGCGUUGGUUGUGGCUCUCGCUCCGCCGCGAGCCGCACACGACGCAGGGCAUCUCGUAGCCAAAGCCGACAUGGCCUUCCACGGCCUCCAUCAGCAUCAACUCGGGGAACGCCACGUAGCCCCUUCUGUAACGCUCCUUGCCUAUCAUUGCUUUCCGGACGCUUUCUUUGCCAGAGAACUUUUUCGCCAGGAAGUCGCACUCCUCCGCUCCGGCAACGUGCACGUGAUACACAUGCUCUCUCAGCAUGUUGUCACCCGCUACGAAACGGGAAAGCCUGACGCCGCACGCAUCACACACGUGAGUGUCUACGAUGUCUAGCUCAUACGACAUGCCCUCACGGCUGCCCAGCUCCCUGAACAGGUUGUCCGCAGUGCGAGGGCCGACCACGCUCCUCUCGCUCGGCCUUUUCGUGUACAGCAGAGGCUUGCGCCCGUAGUCGUCGUCCAGCUGGGUGUCGGUCAGGUACGCCGUGAAUCUCUUGCAAACUUCUUUGCAUCUGUCGCGGUGUCGUCUCCCCGCGCCGGCACAGAUGACGCAUCGCGUUACGUUUAGCAGGUUACAUUUGCCACCGCUGGCAAAUAAGAGGGCGUCCGGAAACGCCACCAUGCCGUGGGCGAACCUGAGUUCGCCCAGGUCCAAGGCCAAUUGAUCCGGUGGCAGGUGGCGGUGUCUGUAAUGAGCCUUGACACGAGCACACCGUCCGUCGCUGGCCAGGAUGUGUUUGUCCAACAAGUCCCUCAAGGCACCCUCA